AUCACUCAUUUAUGUUCUCUUACAAGUAAUUAAAAAAAAAAGAAGUUGAGAUAGUAAGCUAGUACACGAGUAUGCAAUUUCUAUGGGGUGACUAAGAAAGCAACAUCUUUUCUUACAAAUUCUUGAGUAAAAUUCAAGCAGGCAAUAAUAUUAAAUCCAUUAACUUUCAGAAUGCAUUCUGUAUAUGUUUAUACCCUUCUUAGGACAGAUAAUUUGUGCCAAUCCUUGCUGCACCAUCACUGAAAAGAGAUGAAAACAACUGAUUUAGAGUGGACCCUAUAGGAAGGAGUAAGGUCAGGGCUUGGUAAAAUUAUGAAGAAGAUUAUUAUGGGAGUUACUAAAAAGAACCUGAAAGACACCACUAUCACUUAUCACAGCCAGCAUGGCUUCAUGAGGGGCAAAGUCCUGCCUGUCAAACCUGAUUUCCUUUAAAGAUAAGGUAACACAUGCAGGUGAUAAACAGCAAAUAAUGUAUUUGAUCUUUUUGGAUUUCAAUAAAUCUUCCAAUACUGUCUCUCACAGGAUCCUUCUGGAAAAAAUGGGCAGCCCACAACUGGAUAACCACAUCAUGGGAUGGGUGAGCAGCUGGGUCACAGGUCAGCCACAAAGGUUUACAGUGAAUGGGGGUGACAGCAGACUGGGGACCUGUCAUUAGUGGGGUUCCACAGGGCCCCAUCCUCAGCCCUGUGCUCUUCAACAUCUUCAUAAAUGACUUGGAUUGGGAACUGGAAGAAAUACUCAGUAAGUUCCCAAAAACAGAGGAGCUGCUGACUCCCUCAAAAGGCAGGGAGAUCCUGCAGAGAGGCCUCGACAAAUCAGGGGUCUGGGCAAUCACCAAUCGUAUGAAGUUCAACAGGGGAAAGUGCUGGAUUCAGCACCUGGGAUGGGGCAGCCCUGGAUGUAUGGACAGACUGGGAAAUGCUGAGGAAAAAUGAAUGCACCUGAGUUUCUUCACUGAAGGACUGAAAAAAUAUUCCCUAUCUCCACUCCAGGCUUGAGGACUGGACAUAAGGAUGUUACAAAAAAAAAUCAAUGGAUUUGUAAUUUGAUUUAUGUAUUCCUGUGACUAAGUUGCUGUGCAAAAGGUACAAAAGCCUCAGUCAUAAAAAGAAAGAGAAAGAAGUAAAUGGGUAAUGCAAGAAACCCCAAGAAGAAUACACUGUCUGAAGAACAGGGCAAACUGGAAAAAAUGAUGGACAAGAGAGACAAGAAUUCUGCCUGCACUGUACAGCCUGAGUAGAUUAUAGUUAAAACAACAAAGAGAGCAUGCAGAAGUAAACUGUUGUGAAAACUGACAACAAAAACAACACAAAGAUUACAUUUCAGAUUCAAAACUAAAUUAUAAAGGCAUCAGAAAAUUUUCAUUAUUUAACUUUUUCCACCUACAAAGAUCAAUACAGAUUUUAAAGGGAGACCUAUGUUUCAAUUUUAUGUAAGUAGAAAUCUUCUCAAUGAAACUAACACAACACAAGGCACAAUGAGUUGUGCCUUCUCUCUGAGUCUUGGGAAUCUCUGAGGAUAAGCAGAUCUGACACUUACUGCUAUAGAGUUGGAGAGCAUUAACAAAGAACUGAGUUUUCCCGCUGAACUUCCCUUUCUGAGAGAAAUUUGCAAGGCUUUCAUUGCCCACGAAGUUAUGUAUAACAAAAAGACAGUUUUUAAUAUCUGUGGGUAUGAUAAAAUUUGCAAGCCCACUCACCCUAUAGUCAUGGAACUGCAGCCUCUGCUACCUAGAAAAAGCAAGACCUACAUGCCCAAAGUAUGACAAUAAUGAAACGGUUCCCAUAUGUAAGCUAAAUAGAUCCACUCAGAAAAAUAAUUUAGACUUUAAAUGUCUACUUCUUUGAUCAUCACUAUGUAUUUAUGAUUCACAUAUUAAAAAAUCAGCAGAACCAAAACCUCAUAAUAAAAUUCUCUUCAUUAGUCCAAGACAUAAUUUUUCUCUAUGCCAAAAUCACAUAUUUGUGAUUUUGAUUUUUUUGAUUGACAGCUCAGGUUCCACAGCUGUUACAGUGACAUUUAUGCCUUCUGUGUGUUACAUAUGUUUGUAAAUACAACUGCUAUCUGCUUAGUUUUGAUGUCCUAAGUGAUACUGGAGCAAACAGCUAUAUAAUUUCUCUCUUUCUCUUUCUGACAGAUAUGAACUAGGCUAUCUAAAAUACUGUCUGUGCCUAUUUAAAUAGGCAUGCCCUUAACUGCAUGCAACCCAUAUGAGCUUCUAUUCUACCUAUGCUGUUAGUGACUCUGGAAUUAUGGGGUGUCUGAUGUCAGAGAUGCUUUAAAAUACUCAUCUCAUCUACAUUAUCAUGGAACCUCAGGUAUCUACGUUAGGAGCACUGGGCCACAAAUAAUGAGUGGACUGGAAUACUUCUCAUCAGAGGAGAGGCUGAGAGCUAGGACUGUUCAGCCUGGGGGAAAGCAGGUUCAGGGAGCUCAUAUCCCCAUGUAUAAGCACCUGAUGGGACAGAAAGAACAAAAGGGAAAAACACUUCCCUCAGAAGUGCCCAUUGACAGGGGAAGAGUCAAUGGAGACAAACGAAAAACCAGAAAAUUCUAUCCAGACACAUAUUAGGAUGAUGAGCAAACACUGAAAUGUGUCUCUCAAAAAGACUGUGGAGUGUCCAUUUAUGAGCAUUUUCAAAUCACAACUGGAAGCUGUCAUAGUCAACCUGCUGAAGGUGAUCUUGCUUGAGCAGGGGAUUGGACUAGCUGGAUUCCGUAGUGCAAAAAGUCCCUUCCAACUUAAAUGAGAAAAACCACAUCACUUUUUUGAAAGCUAGACACAUAAAAAGAGAAUGAGUAUCUCCCUGACAUGACACUACACUUUAAAGGUUAGCUUAAUUGCCCUUUUCAUUGCUUUCCCACCAUUAUACCAGACUGAAAUACUAUGGGAAGGAUUUAAAGAGAAAACACUGUAUUAUAACUAAUACAGUUAAUUAUAUUAUAAUUAAUACAGUUAAUGAUAUUAUAAUUAAUCCCAGUUACUACUGGGAUACUACUAAUAUGUAUCCCAGCCUGGCAGGGAGCCCCCAUCUUCUCUGGCAGAAAUCCCUUGCAAACAUUUCAGUCUGCAGCUGAGAGGAGAGCCAGAAUGGUCUGAGCAUUGUGCUCAGAGAACUGUUCUUCCUUGAUGGGACAGAAGAGCCAAGGACAAGCUGCUUAAGAACAAAGGUGCAUGAAGAAGGAUGCUCAUCUUCUUUACAGGCCUUUGGGUAUGCCUAAAGGAUGCUCAAGAAUGAUGAAGAAUUUAAA